rnacentral:rRNA from 1 species
AUUAGAGUUUGAUCAUGGCUCAGGACGAACGCUGGCGGCGUGCUUAACACAUGCAAGUCGAACGAUGAAGCCCAGCUUGCUGGGUGGAAGAGUGGCGAACGGGUGAGUAACACGUGAGUAACCUGCCCUUCACUCUGGGAUAAGCGCUGGAAACGGCGUCUAAUACUGGAUACGACCCUUACAGGCAUCUGUUGGGGGUGGAAAGAUUUAUCGGUGAAGGAUGGGCUCGCGGCCUAUCAGGUAGUUGGUGAGGUAACGGCUCACCAAGCCGACGACGGGUAGCCGGCCUGAGAGGGUGACCGGCCACACUGGGACUGAGACACGGCCCAGACUCCUACGGGAGGCAGCAGUGGGGAAUAUUGCACAAUGGGCGAAAGCCUGAUGCAGCAACGCCGCGUGAGGGAUGACGGCCUUCGGGUUGUAAACCUCUUUUAGUAGGGAAGAAGCGAGAGUGACGGUACCUGCAGAAAAAGCACCGGCUAACUACGUGCCAGCAGCCGCGGUAAUAAU